CUUUAUCUAAUGGCACAUACUUUCUGUAAUAUUAAAUUCAUGUGCGUAGAAAUGAUUUUAUUAAAAUUUAAGUGCUGAGUUAUUCAGUUUGACUUAGCAGUUCGUUGAUGUAAGACGUGUGUGUCCACUGGGAACUCCAGUAUUGGGGCCUUACCGGACAGUAUAAAAAAAUGUGAUUCCUUUGGAUUUUUGGGUGAUCUACAACUUGACCCACUAAAUGUUCAAAUAGUUCAAAUGGAUUUGGUAACAUCGCAUCGGAACUGCAGUUUAACUCAACAACUUUCUAAAAGUCUGAAAUAACAGAUCAGCGCCUGUUAUUUCUUUUUUUUUCAAAUUCCGAUCUCCAGGACAUUUUAAAUAACCUUGAAUUAUAAUUCAUCCUUAAAAGUUUUUAAAUACGCUUGAGAGAUCGAGAGUGUUUGCGCUAACAAGAAAUCUACAAAAGUUUAAAAUAUGCUGAAAAUUAUUUUAUUUCCUUCAUGCCAUGAAUACACGCUUCUCAGUGAUUCUUAAAACCUUUGAAAUAACACUAAAUGAUCUUAGUUGAUAAAGCUUUUUAACUUUUUUGUUUUUCGAACAUGAUUCGGAUGAUUUAUCGUUAAAUUCUGCGUUCAUAGGCGACAAUUAAUAUAUCCUUGCCGAAGAACGAGGCAACAAUUUAGCAAAAAUUGGGCUUCGUAACUCAACUGCCAGUGGUUUAAAUAAUUUGAAUAAAUUUAUCGAUAGCAAACAUAGUUGACAAAUACUAUAUAUGAAAAUAUGUGUACUGAAAGAGCUUAACUAAGAAAUUGACGAUUAUAUUCCUGACAUUGUCAACAUAUUUUUGUAACUCAAGUCUUUAAGUCUUUUCGAUAAAUGUAUCAACAGCAAACAUAGGUGACAAAUACUAUAUACUUAAAUAUGUAUACAUAUUUAAAGAGAUUAAUUAAGAUUAAGAAUUGACGUUUAUAUUCCUUCACAUUGUUAAAAUGUUGUAAGUGGUAUACUUGUAAAACUUAUUGAAUCCAAAAAGCUGCCAUAAUUUUGAAGCAGAACCUUAGCAAACUUUGAAAGCGAGUCUGUUCUGUAAAGAAUUGUCAACGAAUUUGCACACAGCACUUUUUUGACACGAAAUACUUUUUUUUUAAUUAUUUAUUUUGUCCAGAGCUUUAAAUCUUUCUAAAAUAAUUAACUUGACAAACUACUUGUCAUUAACAAAUCCUUAAAAUUUGUAUUCUUUGAAAUAUAUAUUAUAACUCUGUAUAAAUAUAUUUAUUAAUAAAAUCUGCAAUUAGUAUUGUAGCAAAAGCUUUAGAAAGCUGUUUAAUAAAUAUGUUUAAUGCAAAAAAUAUUUCACCGUCCUUUGAAAGAAAACAACUUUAGGAAGCUUUAUGAUACCUAAGCGAAUAUGCAUUUUUAGGUUUAGAAAGCUCUAAAUUAAAUAAAUUGUAUUUUAAAUGUUUUUUAAUACUACUUUAAAAUGAAGAUUAUAAUGUUUUUUAAUAUUUGUGAAUAAAAAUACAUAUGUAUAAUAUA